rnacentral:rRNA from 1 species
AUUGAACGCUGGCGGCAUGCCUUACACAUGCAAGUCGAACGGCAGCACGGGAGCAAUCCUGGUGGCGAGUGGCGAACGGGUGAGUAAUAUAUCGGAACGUGCCCAGUCGUGGGGGAUAACGUAGCGAAAGCUACGCUAAUACCGCAUACGAUCUAUGGAUGAAAGCGGGGGAUCGCAAGACCUCGCGCGAUUGGAGCGGCCGAUAUCAGAUUAGGUAGUUGGUGAGGUAAAGGCUCACCAAGCCGACGAUCUGUAGCUGGUCUGAGAGGACGACCAGCCACACUGGGACUGAGACACGGCCCAGACUCCUACGGGAGGCAGCAGUGGGAAUUUUGGACAAUGGGCGCAAGCCUGAUCCAGCAAUGCCGCGUGCAGGAUGAAGGCCUUCGGGUUGUAAACUGCUUUUGUACGGAACGAAACGGUGAGCUCUAAUACAGUUUGCUAAUGACGGUACCGUAAGAAUAAGCACCGGCUAACUACGUG